GACGAACGCUGGCGGCGUGCUUAACACAUGCAAGUCGAACGAUGAACCGGAGCUUGCUCUGGGGAUUAGUGGCGAACGGGUGAGUAACACGUGGGCAACCUGCCCCAGACACCGGGAUAACCAUUGGAAACGAUGGCUAAUACCGGAUACGACCACUUCGGGCAUCCGAUGGUGGUGGAAAGGAUUCUGGUCUGGGAUGGGCCCGCGGCCUAUCAGCUUGUUGGUGGGGUAAUGGCCUACCAAGGCGACGACGGGUAGCCGGCCUGAGAGGGCGACCGGCCACACUGGGACUGAGACACGGCCCAGACUCCUACGGGAGGCAGCAGUGGGGAAUAUUGCGCAAGGGGCGAAAGCCUGACGCAGCGACGCCGCGUGAGGGACGAAGGUCUUCGGAUUGUAAACCUCUUUCAGCAGGGAUGAAGCGAAAGUGACGGUACCUGCAGAAGAAGCACCGGCUAACUACGUGCCAGCAGCCGCCGUAAGAC
rnacentral:rRNA from 1 species